rnacentral:lncRNA from 1 species
GGCCCCAUGUCCAGAAGCUGAAGAGUUUGGGUCUCAUCAUCCAAAAGGCAUCUCCAGGGCAGCGAUUCAAUUUUGCUCCUUUCCCUCCUGUGCACCAAAAGCAUCUCCCAGGCGGUCCUGCAGCGCUCCCUUUGCCUCUUCUGAGAUGCCUCCUGAGAAAGCAAGAUGCAACGGUUGCUCCUCCCAGAAAUCUCAGUGAGCUCCAGCUGGGAGAGCUGUGCCCUCUUCCCUCAGCGCUUGAUACCCAUCUCCAUCACUUUGCCAUCCUACUCUUCAUCGUGGAUCUUCCUCCAUGCUUAGGAGCCCAAGUCAGCAGCUGGGAGAUGCUUCUCCCCAUACAAUCAACACACUUUCCCCACCUCCCAUGUUGGGUAUUACCCAUAGUGGACUGAAAAAUUACUUCUGG